GUCUGGGAGCCGGAGGGUGCGGCUUCCGCCGCUGGGUCAGCCGUUCUUUUUCUACUUCUACUUCUUCUUCGCGUCUGGGUCUUUGCAGAUCCUCCUUUUACCUUCCCCUCGCGCCUCGUUCUCUCCCGCGCUUGCUGCGACGGGACUUUCCAGCAUCCCUCACUUUCCCAUCGCGGCCUCCGAUCCGCAGCGGCGGGCCGAGCUGGCGAAUGGCUGCCGAGCCACCUCCCAGGGUCUAGUCUAGUGGGGGAGGGGGGGAAACAGACCCCGAAACUCGAGCCCCGGCCCAGCGUAGGCUGGGGAAGAAAAAAAAAAAAAAAUCAAUCCACUGUCAUAGCAUUGUGUUGUUGUUCUAGACACAUUAUCACGCCACUUUGUGAUUAGGUUAUCUCGAGGAUUAUAUGGUAAUGGUUUUGAAGCCCCACUUGGGUUGUACAUCCGACAGGUGAUAUUCCUUGGAGAGGCCUGUGGGGGAGUUGAAAAGCCAGAUGUUGGUCUUCGGUCUAUUUAAAGGGGCCACAUUAUUAAGAUGGGCUAAAUUAGGCCGGGCCUGGUGACGCGAGCCUUUAAUCCCAGCAUUCUGGAGGAUUGCCGUGAGAUCGAAGCCACCCUAAGACUACUUAGUGAAUUCCAGGCAGGGUCACAUUCUAGCCUAGGCUGACUUGGAACACUAUAGCUCAGGCGAGCUUCGAACACACAGCAGUCCUCCUACUUCAGCCAUCUGGAGUGAUGGGAAGCCUAAGGACCCCGAUUCGAGGCUCGUUUCCCCAGGACCCACGUUAGCCAGAUGCACAA